UUUCUGGCGAGUACGUCCACUAUCCAAGAGUAUUAGUCUCAGUAGCCUCCUCCUCGCUUAAAGUGCUUUACAACCAUAAGGCCUUCUUCACACACGCGGCAUGGCUGGAUCAGGGUUCCCCCCAUUGUCCAAUAUUCCCCACUGCUGCCUCCCGUAGGAACUAGUGUGUCCUUCAUAGGGCAGGCUGGUGACGGCGGUAUAUAGGCUGGGGGGGGGGGAAAAACCGCGGGGGUGUUUUCCCCAUCCCCCCCCACAAGAGAGGGGCCCCCCCGCUGUGGUGGGGCAAAAGACAAACUUUUUUUUUUUUGACUUUUUUCGGGUAUUUUUUUGGUGGGGGGAUUGUUUUUUUUCUUUCUGGGGUUUUUCCUAAGCAAAAAGGGGGGUUUAAACAAAAAAAAAAAGAGCGGCCUUACAAUUGGUGUUUCUUUUACUUUAAAAUCGAAAAUUCCCGGGAGGGGGGGGGCUAUAACGUAAAUGAAUUUCAAUGCUGGGGGCUAGGAUAAGGACCCUACAUUACAAAAUAAAAUCCUGGAGUUCACCCCAGCGUUUUCAUAAGGCCUCCUAUCCUACUCAAUUAUAAGUCCCCCUAGGGCCACAAAUACCUAUCCUUAAAGAAACCGUCAAAUAGAAUCCCUAAAAUCUCAGU
rnacentral:rRNA from 1 species